rnacentral:rRNA from 1 species
CCUACGGGAGGCAGCAGUGGGGAAUAUUGGACAAUGGGGGAAACCCUGAUCCAGCCAAGUCGCGUGAGGGAAGACUGCCCUAUGGGUUGUAAACCUCUUUUGUCAGGGAGCAAUUGGCGCUACGUGUAGCGUUAUCGAGAGUACCUGAAGAAAAAGCAUCGGCUAACUCCGUGCCAGCAGCCGCGGUAAUACGGAGGAUGCGAGCGUUAUCCGGAUUUAUUGGGGUUAAAGGGUGCGUAGGCGGAAUGCCAAGUCAGCGGUAAAAUCGCGGGGCUCAACCUCGCUCCGCUGUUGAAACUGGCGUUCUUGAGUGGGCGAGAAGUAUGCGGAAUGCGUGGUGUAGCGGUGAAAUGCAUAGAUAUCACGCAGAACUCCGAUUGCGAAGGCAGCAUACCGGCGCCCAACUGACGCUGAAGCACGAAAGCGUGGGUAUCGAACAGGAUUAGAUACCCGGGUAGUC